rnacentral:rRNA from 1 species
UUGCAAGGUUAAGGAAGUAAGGGCAUACAGCGGAUGCCUAGGCACUAAGCGCCGAAGAAGGACGUGACUAACAACGAAAUGCUACGGGGAGCUGUAAGUAAGCAACGAUCCGUAGGUCUCCGAAUGGGGAAACCCGGCAUCUAGGAGAGAUGUCACACGCAAGUGGGGGAACGCAGGGAACUGAAACAUCUUAGUACCUGUAGGAAAAGAAAGUAAAAACGAUUCCGUAAGUAGUGGCGAGCGAACGCGGAGGAGCCAGACUAACAACAGUUACAAAGGGUUAUUAUAGAGGAACAACUUGGGAAGGUUGACCAGAGGAGGUAAAAGUCCUGUACUCGAAAUAAUAAUCUCUGGUUAGUCAAGAAGUAGGGCGGGGCACGUGGAAUCCCGUUUGAAGAAGUGAGGACCAUCUCAUAAGGCUAAAUACGUCUUAGUGACCGAUAGUGAACCAGUACCGUGAGGGAAAGGUGAAAAGAACCCCGGGAGGGGAGUGAAAUAGAACCUGAAACUGUAUGCUUACAAUUAGCUGGAGCCCGUUAAGGGGUGACAGCGUGCCUAUUGCAGAAUGAACCGGCGAGUUAUGAUAUGUAGCGAGGUUAAGCUUGAAGGAGUGAAGCCAAAGGGAAACCGAGUGUUAAGAGCGCGAAUAAGUUACAUAUUGUAGACCCGAAACCAGGUGAUCUAGCCAUGUGCAGGUUGAAGUCUAUGUAAGAGUAGAUGGAGGACCGAACGAGGGAGUGUUACAAAACUCUUCGAUGACGUGUGGCUAGGGGUGAAAAGCCAAACGAACCUGGAGAUAGCUGGUUCUCCCCGAAAUAGCUUUAGGGCUAGCGUUAGCAGAAGAAAUUUAUGAAGGUAGAGCACUGAAUGUGUGAGGGCCACACCUCGUGGUACUGAUCCCAAAUAAACUCCGAAUGUCAUAAAUGGAUAGCUAGCAGUCAGACACUGGGUGAUAAGGUCCAGAGUCGAGAGGGAAACAGCCCAGACCGCCAGAUAAGGUCCCAAAAUAGAUGCUAAGUGGCAAAGGAAGUGGGGGCGCACAAACAGCUAGGAGGUUGGCUUAGAAGCAGCCACCCUUUAAAGAGUGCGUAACAGCUCACUGGUCGAGGACUUUUGCGCCGAAAAUGUAGGGGGCUAAGCAUACUGCCGAAGCUGCGGGAUAUGUGCUAGUGAGUAUAUAUCGGUAGGGGAGCGUUCCAUACGGGGUGAAGCCGAACCGCGAGGUCGCGUGGACUGUAUGGAAGUGAGAAUGUCGGCAUGAGUAACGCGAAGUGCGUGAGAAACGUACUCACCGAAAGCCCAAGGUUUCCUGGGGAAGGUUCAUCCUCCCAGGGUUAGGCGGGACCUAAGACGAGGCUGAAGAGCGUAGUCGAUGGACAGCAGGUAGACAUUCCUGCCCCGGCCUAUGCCGUUAUAACUGAAGGGGUGACACAGAAAGCUAGGUGCUCCGGGUGAUGGAAUACCCGGUCCAAGGAUGUAGGAAGGCGCUUCAGGCAAAUCCGAGGCGCUAUUUCUGAGGUCUGAUGGGGAGAUCCCACGGGAUCGAAGUCAUUGAAGCUCGGCUGUCGAGAAAAGCCUCUAGGGAGGUAUAGGCUGCCCGUACCCGAAACCGACGCAGGUGGGCUAGCUGAGAAGGCUCAGGUGAGCGGGAAAACCCUCGUUAAGGAACUCUGCAAGUUGACCCCGUAACCUAGGGAGAAGGGGUGCCACUCUGGUGAAGUGUAAAUCAUAUGGAGCUAAGGGUGGUCGCAGAAACCAGGCUCAGGCGACUGUUUACUAAAAACACAGGUCUCUGCAUAAGGCGUAAGCCGAAGUAUAGGGACUGACACCUGCCCGGUGCUGGAAGGUUAAAUGGAGAGGUUAGCGCAAGCGACGCUUUGAAAUGAAGCCCCAGUAAACGGCGGCCGUAACUAUAACGGUCCUAAGGUAGCGAAAUUCCUUGUCGGGUAAGUUCCGACCUGCACGAAUGGUGUAACGAUCUGAGCACUGUCUCAACGAGGGACCCGG